rnacentral:rRNA from 1 species
GACGAACGCUGGCGGCGUGCUUAACACAUGCAAGUCGAACGGAAAGGCCUCUUUCGGGGGGUACUCGAGUGGCGAACGGGUGAGUAACACGUGAGUAACCUGCCCUUGACUUUGGGAUAACUUCAGGAAACUGGGGCUAAUACCGGAUAGGAGCUCCUGCUGCAUGGUGGGGGUUGGAAAGUUUCGGCGGUUGGGGAUGGACUCGCGGCUUAUCAGCUUGUUGGUGGGGUAGUGGCUUACCAAGGCUUUGACGGGUAGCCGGCCUGAGAGGGUGACCGGCCACAUUGGGACUGAGAUACGGCCCAGACUCCUACGGGAGGCAGCAGUGGGGAAUAUUGCACAAUGGGUGGAAGCCUGAUGCAGCAACGCCGUGUGCGGGAUGACGGCCUUCGGGUUAUAAACCGCUUUCGCUCAUGACGAAGCUUUGUGUGACGGUAGUGGGUAAAGAAGCACCGGCUAACUACGUG